rnacentral:rRNA from 1 species
UACGUAGGGUGCAAGCGUUGUUCGGAAUUACUGGGCGUAAAGCGCACGCAGGCGGUCUUUUAAGUUUGACGUGAAAGCUCCCGGCUUAACUGGGAGAGGUCGUUGAAGACUGGAAGACUUGAGGCAAUGAGAGGGGUGUAGAAUUCCCGGUGUAGUGGUGGAAUGCGUAGAUAUCGGGGGGAAUACCAGUGGCGAAAGCGGCACCCUAGCAUUAGCCUGACGCUCAUGUGCGAAAGCGUGGGGAGCGAACGGG